CGAUGGGAUUUUAUCUGUAACCAUGGUAUUGCACUGGGGCCUUAAGAACUCCCACAAUGCAGUUGGCGGCGCUGUCCCAGUGCCGUUACAUAUGUGCAGAAGUAAUAGCCUCUUUCUUGAUAUCUUAGCACUGUAACCGGAGAGCUGGGAAACUGCGCAGCACAGGCUGCAGCGACUGUGCUCACAAGAGGAGGAGGGAGUGCAGGUCGGCCAGGGAGCACUUCGCAUAACUUUAAGUUACCUCCCCUCGGACCACACAGCUCUUAGCUUCAGUAAGACUUUCAGCUACUCCUUUUAACUUUUCCUUCCUCUGGUUUGGUGGCUUGGUACUUUGUGACUUUUGCCAAUCCACAACGGAUUUGCAGCGUUAUUAAAUCGAAAGGUCUGUUGGAAUUUAACAUGCAAGAAUAACCGUUUAACCGUCGGAUUGUUUUCUUUCCGAUGAUUUAACUGAUUUUGGUUUAUGUCAACAGGACUGCGAUUGUACAAUCAUGCAAACAGUCUAAGUGAUGAUAUAUGUGUGCUGGGGGAAGAAGAGGAAGUUGGAAGGUACAGGCAAGACCUUCGACAUCAACCCUAGGAGAUGCAUGGCAUACACAUGGCACUCGAUAAAUGAUCUGUACUCAUUUUGAAAGUCCUGAAGAAAAGUGGAUUGGAUUGUACAUGUGCAAGGUGAAGGUUUACAUGUAAAAUUUUCUACUUGAACAUAUUACAGAGGAGAAGAUUAUGGGAAACCUGUGUGUCCACCUAACUUCAAAUGACAGAAUGACUUGACAGCCUGAAGACUGUUUACCUAUAUUUUACUGAUGUCAAAGUGUACAAUGGAGCUGAAGGUAUGGGUGGAUGGAGUCCAGAGAAUAGUUUGUGGUGUCACAGAAGUUACUACCUGCCAAGAGGUGGUGAUAGCCCUUGCACAAGCU